AUUUCAAAUUGAGAGCCUUUCUUUUUCAUUUUCGUUCUCUCUCUCCCUCAAAUCCAAAUUCAAAUGAAAUUUUCGUUCUCUCUCUCCAUCUCUCCAGGCGAUUUUGUAGAUCUAGGGUUUCUGGCAUCUUCAAGGUGGGUUUAUGGCAUCUUCAGUUGGGUUUCAUGCUUUGAUUUUAAAAAAUCUGGUCACUGAUAGUCUCUUUUGUGCGCUCGGGGGGCAAAAGCGAUACCAGAAUGCAGUUCUCCAAAAGACGAUUGAAAAUGGUUAGAAUUCCGGCGGUGAAAGCUAAAACGAAUACUUUUUCAACUUUUCGAGUUAAUAAUAAUCGUCUAAUUCGAAGAAAGCUUGUGAUCAUGCAACAGUGAUGACGGAUUUUGUUGCUUCAAAUUGAAGAUGUUCGACUUCUAGGGUUUCACUGAGCAACCUCUUUCCUGUUCACUGAAUACCAAUACGUUGGAGUAAUUAUGGUUAUUUUCGCUGUUCUAAUCUUCGUAUUCCUCGGGUUCGUUCCGUUGAGGGAUUCAGCACAAGUAGUAAAACAUGCACAUACAACGCCACCAAGAUGUGCAAGCCCGCUCUAAUGACAGCAGUGUUCAGCACUGUGUCAUUCUUGCUUGGUGCCAUCACCUCGGUUGUCUCCGGUUUUUUUGGAAUGAAAAUCGCCACAUAUGCAAAUGCCAGAACCACCCUUGAGGCUAUAAAGGGUGUCAGCAAGGCGCUUUUUGGUAGAGUUGGUAGCGGUAUUUACACGAAAGCUGCUGAUGUCGGCGCUGACCUUGUUGGCAAGGUUGAGAGGAACAUCCCUGAAGAUGACCCCAGAAAUCCUGCGGUAACCAGGAGUAAAUAGUAGUUCAUUAAUGAGAAGUCGAUUAUUCCAGAAACAUUCGAUUUCACUGAAGAAACAUUCCAAAGUAUCUAUAUCGUGUUCGUUAAAUGAGAGUACAACAAAAGUGAUUUAUAGUGUAGCGCCUGCAAUGGGUCAUAACAAGAAAGUGUGUAUUGGAGAACGUUGGUGAAGUCUUGCAUGAUAUUGGUAACAGGAGGCACAUCCAGAAUGCAGUUUACGGGUUCCUGCAAUUGUGACUGCUCUCGAGAAGGUGGAGCUCACACCGAAGUUUCGAGGAUCUGAGAUCAUUCAACUUCAAGAUUUUAGAACUGCUACUGUCGAAGAUAUUGCAAGUGUGCAUUCCAGAUCUUAUGUUUUUGGCCUUGAGAAGGUACGGAUGCGUUUUUCAUUGAUGAAGAAAUUUGGCGGUGUUUUCAUGGUAGAAGGAAUAGAAGGUGAAAUCGAAAAUGAAAGCAGCGAUGGUUGGUAAGUUCGUGCGUAAGCACUCAAAUCGAUUGUUAUAUUUAGUUGAAUUUUGCAUCAUGUAUAAUGUGUUUUGCGUCUUGCUUGUGUGUUUUAGUAGACUCUUAUGAUCAAUAUACAUAAACUAAUAAUGGGUUUUCCGUUGUCCAUA